GAUGAACGCUGGCGGCGUGCUUAACACAUGCAAGUCGAACGGAAAGGCCCUGCUUUUGUGGGGCGCUCGAGUGGCGAACGGGUGAGUAACACGUGAGUAACCUGUCCUUGACUUUGGGUUCACUUCAGGAAACCGGGGCCCACAUCGGAUAGGAGCUCCUGAUGCAUGGUGGGGGAUGGAAAGCUGCGGUGGUAGGGGAUGGACUCGCGGAUUAUCAGCUUGUUGGUGGGGUAGUGGCUUACCAAGGCUUUGACGGGUACCCGGCAUGGGAGGGUGGCCAGCGACAUGGGUACUAAGGGACGGCGCAGUCGCGUACGGGAGGCAAUGGGCGGGAGUAUGACACAGUAAGGGGAAGUCUGGGACGACGGCGCCCGGUGCGUGAAGACGGCCUGCAGGUUAUGAACCGCUUUCGCCUAAUACGAGGCGUGAGUGACGGUAAUGGAUAAAGAAGCACCGGCUAACUACGUG
rnacentral:rRNA from 1 species